rnacentral:rRNA from 1 species
UACCAGCACCCCGAGUGGUCGGGACGAUUAUUGGGCCUAAAGCAUCCGUAGCCGGUUCUACAAGUCUUCCGUUAAAUCCACCUGCUUAACAGAUGGGCUGCGGAGGAUACUAUAGAGCUAGGAGGCGGGAGAGGCAAGCGGUACUCGAUGGGUAGGGGUAAAAUCCGUUGAUCCAUUGAAGACCACCAGUGGCGAAGGCGGCUUGCCAGAACGCGCUCGACGGUGAGGGAUGAAAGCUGGGGGGAGCAAACCGG